rnacentral:rRNA from 1 species
CUACGGGAGGCUGCAGUGAGGAAUAUUGGUCAAUGGGCGCAAGCCUGAACCAGCCAUCCCGCGUGCAGGAUGACAGCCCUAGAGGUUGUAAACUGCUUUUGUAUAGGAAGAAUAAGAGCUACGUGUAGCUUGAUGACUGUACUAUACGAAUAAGCACCGGCUAACUCCGUGCCAGCAGCCGCGGUAAUACGGAGGGUGCAAGCGUUAUCCGGAUUUAUUAGGUUUAAAGGGUGCGUAGGCGGGAUCUUAAGUCAGUGGUAAAAGGCAUUAGCUUAACUAAUGUAAGCCAUUGAAACUGGGAUUCUUGAGUUCGGUUGAGGUAGGCGGAAUGUGUUGUGUAGCGGUGAAAUGCAUAGAUAUAACACAGAACACCGAUUGCGAAGGCAGCUUACUAAGCCGUUACUGACGCUGAUGCACGAAAGCGUGGGUAUCAAACAGGAUUAGAUACCCCGGUAGUC